rnacentral:lncRNA from 1 species
CCAACAAGAAGCCUAUUAAACACAAGGAAAAGAGGCGUACAAACAAAGAUUUAUUAAACAAAAAUUAGUUACAACAAUAAUGACUUAUCUACCAACUAUGUUGGUACUCUAAAGCCGUCAAUUAUCAUUUGCAACAUCUUAAUAAACAUUAAUUGCCUUGCUUAUAGAGAUAGUUAUGUCUUCAAAUAUGAUCUGAUUUCUACACUUUCAAAUCAUCCAAAUGAUAUUGGUGAUGAAAGAAAUGAUAAGAUCUUGGACUUGUUUGCUCCAAUUUGCAUUAUAGAUUUUAAGAAGAACAUGGAUGUAAUCAAGGACAUGUUGCACCUGCAAACAUCAACAAAGCAACACCACAAAGUACCUGCAAAGUUGCUCUCAAACAUGACAUAAAAAACUUUGUUGCCACAAUAUUAUGAUAAAGUUGUCUCCAUAACAACAAUAUUUU